UACAGAGGUCCCGAGCGUUGUUCGGAUUCAUUGGGCGUAAAGGGCGCGUAGGCGGCCCUGGUAAGCCGGGUGUGAAAGCUGGGGGCUCAACCCCCAAAGGGCACUCGGGACUGCCGGGCUAGAUAGAGGGCCGGCGAGGAGAUCGGAAUUCACGGUGUAGCAGUGAAAUGCGUAGAGAUCGUGAGGAAGACCGGUGGCGAAGGCGGAUCUCUGGACGGCGCCUGACGCUGAGGCGCGAAGGCUAGGGGAGCAAACGGG
rnacentral:rRNA from 1 species